rnacentral:rRNA from 1 species
AUGCCUCUCCGCCGCCGCCUCCUAGGUCUAUCUGCCGCCGUCUCCGGCGGUCUCCGCCGCUCGCUCGCGACGGCCGCCGCGCACCCCCCGUGGGUCAUGCUCAACCGCGAGGCGCAGGUCGUCGGAGCGUGGAGCGCGGCCGCGCGCCUCGCCGAGCCGCCGCACGUCUCCGAACUGCGCCUCCCGGAGCACGUCAUCGAGGCCUUCCCCGCCCCCGACAGAUACGUCCUGCAAUUGCGCGCCGGCGCCAUCUCCGGCGCGAGCGGCGACGGCCUCCUCUUCCUCUCCGUCCUAAACGCACGCUUCACCCCUCCCGCCGCCGGCGAGCAGCCCGCCGUCCUCGAGCACGCCCACGCGCCCCGCGUCACACGCCUCGUCUGCAACCCUCUCACCCGCGAGCUAUCCCGCCUCCCGGACUUCGUCUCCGACCCCAAGUACGAUUUCGUGCUCGCCGCCCAGAUGGCCAUGGGCGUGCUCACCCAAGCAGACCGCGGGCAGGGGCCGCCUGACAGGUUCGUCGCUGCCUUGCUGAACGGGGAGCAGAUGCUCCGGUUUCGUUCGGAAACAGGGGAGUGGGAGGCCGUGGCGCUCUCGCCGUGCUUUUUCCCACUUCCGCGGCCGCGGCGAGUGACGCUGGACCAGGAGACGCUGGCAUUCGGCGGUCGCCUCUGGUGGGUCGACCUGUCCUGGGGCGCACUCUCCGCCGACCCUUUCAGCGACCGGCCGGAGCUCUCCUUCGUCCAGCUGCCGAGGGGCAGCGUGCUGCCUGAAGGCGCGCAGGACCAAGCGAGGAGCUUGGGUGUCAACACACCUUUCAAGUACCGGCGCAUGGGUGUCAGCCAAGGGCGGCUGCGCUACGUCGAAGUCUCUCGGGAGGAACCGUUCCUUCUCAGCUCCUUCGUGCUCGACGACGAGGGCAGCGGCUGGAUGCAGGAGCACCGGGUGGUGCUCAACAAGCUCUGGGCGAGCCACAUGUCCCUACCCUUACAGCAGGGGGCGACGACACGCAUUGUCCUCAUUGACCCAGUUAAUGCCAACGUCGUUUACCUCGCAGUUGACACGCUAGCCGUCGUCGCCGUGGACAUGGACAGGGAGGAGGUGAUUGGGAGUUAUCCAUACAGCGACACCGCCUGCAUACCAUGUGUUCUUCCACCUUGGCUCGGAUCAAGCCGGAUCCCUUCUGCAGGAGGCAAGAAGUUCGUUUGGAAAAACAAGACUCUGGUAGAUGUCCAAGUUUAUUCUGACAGCUACUACAAAAGAUGA